CCCCCCCGGCCCCUGCCUCGCCCCGGCCCGGCAUGGACGUUGGCGCUGCACGGUGCCGCUGAGCGGGGCCGCCCGGCGCAGAGGGGGGGAAAGAUGUCGGACACCAAGGUGAAGGUGGCCGUCAGGGUCCGACCCAUGAACAGGAGAGAGCUGGAGCUGAACACCAAGUGCGUGGUGGAGAUGGAGGGCAACCAGACCGUGCUGCACCCGCCGCCUUCCAACAGCAAGCAGGGAGAAAGGUAAACGCCGCGCCG
rnacentral:lncRNA from 1 species